rnacentral:misc_RNA from 1 species
AGAGAAAGGAAGAACGAAUGUAUGGCUUCAUUUUACACAUGCAAUCUAAAACUCCUUUCUUAUCGUUGGCCUGUCAGUGUGAGCGUUGCCUAAUAACGUAUUGUGUUAUCACGCCUAGGCGCACGAAUGGACGAGCGGCGGGAGAAGACGAGGGGAACGAUUGGUUGUCUCCGCGUGGGGGGAAAGCGCUGAUUGGUUACCGGGAGUGGGGGGUAGCGUUCGCCGAGCAGUUCAGAUCCGACCGUCGUGAGUUGUAGUCUUACUGGUACACGGUCUCUCUUUCUCUCUUUCGCGCUCUUCUCUCUAUUCCCAGUCUCGGGUAGAGCCGUGUGAUGUUCGACGAUUGACAGUUUCGCGAAUACUCGCGCGUGGAUGCGCAACGCCGUUGUUUCGACGCGUUGCCGGGGCGUUGUAAUCGUUUGCUUGUGAAAAAAAAACGCAGUUUCCCGCGCGCGCACGCGAGCGCGUGCGUGGCCGUGUCUCUUGCCUGCGACGCGACGACGUUGCGACCGGCAAGUAGUAAACAGGUGACACCGACGAACGAAGCGGAACAACAGCCGCAGCGUCGCGCUGUAUCGGUAGCGGUUGACCUUUUACAACACACAGUGCACACAGUGCGUCGCGCGUAAAUUACGCGAAAUAGCAGUGGCCACUGAUCGGACGGUGUUAGGAAUAAAUCGCCCGCUCCGUAUACCCGCGGUGGACACUGUUCAGUAUACUGUGUCAAGGCCAUCGCCGACGAGUUCGCGCCUCGUGUUGCUACGUAGCGUAUUUCUCUGCGUAAUACCAAAGGACGGAUAGAGAGAAACAGAUGCAGAAAAAGACAGAUCGCACGAUCCCUGCAUCGCGAUCAUCGAGAAACCCAUAGUUUCGCAAUCAUAUUCCUCACGAUUUGUCUCUAAUCUGAAAGACGGUGUCAAGGCCGGUGUCAACUUCCGGCGAGCUUUUUACGAGCGACGACUUUUUAUAGCUCCUCUGAUCCAACAACAAUCGCGCGCGCGCGCAUGUGUCAAACUAUCAUCAACUUUGAUGGGAUUGAUAAAAAUUGCGUAAACAUCGUCGUAACGAUUUAAUCCCGGCUCUGUGGAGUUUCAGUGGAAUAGUACUCUUGCAUGAAAUCUACAAUAAAGUUCAUGUACGUUAAAGAAGCUCAGUGGAUGUUUAUCCAUAGAAACCCGGGACGAUAUAGCGUGACAUCAGAUUCGGAAACGACGGAACAUUUGGUGCCGGUACAUGCUUCAUCGAUCGAUUGAUCAAGCUGAACUUCUUGUAACAUUUGCCAGAUACAGGCAAGGCCGGAGGCCUUUAUUAUCGCCGCGCGAAUAAGCUAUCGAGCGACCGCGAUUAAUCACCGGCUAACCAGCUAAUUUUAAUUCGGCCGGCAAACAAGCCGUCGCCGUUGCGAUAAGACGGCCGAGAGACAUCGCUACUGACAACGCGUCACCGAACGAUACUCGCCGUUCUCCAAUAUGGCGAGCGACGCUUGCAGGGACACCUGCUGCGAAUUGCGACCUAUGUUUAUCGGUGCUAACAAGUGUGAUUGUUGAAUAAAUCGCGAAUAAAGACAAGUUACGGUAACAAUCGUCGUUAUCUUCGUGACAUAAGAAUUGUGAGACAAUAUCGACGAUAGAAAAAGCGAAUUGAAAAGUUUGCGACUUACAAUGGCCAACGACGACGGGCAAACGUACUUUGUACGGGCAAACGGAUGAGAAAACUUGUUUUUUUUUUUUCCUUUAGAAGACGUAUAUUUAUUUAUCGUUAAAUGCAUCUCGAAGUGUACGGCAUGUGGCAGCAGCAACAGCAGCAGCACCAGCAAGCGUUUUUGAGGGGUUUGCCCCCGCAACAUCCGCAACAGACUCUCCAUCCAGGGAUCAUCGGCACGGAUAAUCACGUGCCACAUCAGCAGCAACAUCAUCAGCAUCAUCGCGCUACCAUUAUGGAUUUGCCGGUACCAAGCAAUCCACGUGCAUCGCGAAACAUGGCGGAAAAGCAACGCCGCGACAAUCUCAACGCAAAUAUAUCGACGAUGGCGACCCUUGUGCCGAGCGUUGCUGGAAGCUCGAGGAGAAUGGACAAAAUAUCAAUCCUGAGAUUAGCUACCGCUUUCCUGAGGACACGUUACACACUCGGAAGAGGCUGUACGAACUUCCUUCCCCCAUUGUUCAAAGAUCAAUUUGAUCUGGAGCAAUUUUUUGUUGACCACCUAGUUGACAGCGGAGGUUUCUUCAUCGUACUCACCACAAAAGGGAACAUCGUCUAUGUUAGUCGACAAGUGGAGCAACACCUCGGUCAUGUUCAGAACGAAUUGCUGGGUCAGUGCCUGUUCAAUUUCAUCUAUCCCGAUGACCUUGAUGAGCUCAAGCGUAAUCUUUUGCCCGAUGGGCAGUCGAUGUCAUCGUCGACACCGUCGCCGAUGAGCAUCUCGCAGGUGUCCGAGUUGACACAUGAUAACAGUUCCAACUCUUCUGAGGAAUCCUCGACGUCAAGUCAACGGUCGAACGAGAAGCCGAAACGCUUCUUCGAGCAGAGACGGAAUUUCAAAAUCCGCAUAGCGCAACGCACUAAUUCCAGGCGUGAUCAUACACAGUAUGAGUGUUUCGACGUUUCGGGUCUUCUCCGGCUCGCAGAAGCCUGCAAAAACGUGGACAUUCACGGGCACAGAGGAAGACAACGAGAGGCGACGAGCACAACCAACGACAUCGUUUUUGCCGGCAUAGCGACCCUGCCACAGAAACGGCCCAUCACCGAAUUGUCGAUAAUGGACGCCAAUAAAGACGAAUAUGUGACGCGGCAUCUGGUCGACGGGCGUAUCAUUUAUUGCGACCAUAGGGUAUCGGUCAUUGCCGGGUACCUGUCGGAGGAGAUAUCGGGCCUGAACGCGUUCGGUUUUAUGCACAAGGACGAUUGUAGGUGGACGAUGAUCGGCCUACGGCAAAUGUACGACCGUGCCGAAAUGUGCGGCUCAUCGUGCUACAGGCUACUCACAAAGAACGGUGAGUUCAUCUACUUACGGACCCACGGUUAUUUGGAAAUUGACAGAGAUAUGAAUACGGUGGAAUCCUUCGUUUGUGUUAACACCAUGGUGACGGAAGAGGAGGGCAUUCAACUAAUAAAAGAAAUGAAAAUGAGAUUCUCCGCGACCGUGUCUGCAAGUAGUAAAAGUCUAAUUCCAGAUAUCGGCAAUAAUGCACUACCAAUCGACAUGAACACUCAGUCGUCGAAUUCAAAAGCCAACGUCGAAGAUCCAUCGCAGCUCGAAGUUGCUAUUAAUCACCUAAUCAGCGACUUACCCUCGUCGGUUAUAACGGAGGAUUGUUUGUCUCCCUCACCGAUACCGCAUACACAAUACGUAAAGGCUGCUAUAUUCUCUUCUCGUAUGCCUCCAGUUUCCGCACAAGCCAAUAAGAUCGGCAUCAAUAAAAUCAACCGUUGCAUUGUCAUCCAAGGCAAAGGCAAAGGCAAAGUAUCUCCGAAGCAAGAGUCCAAACAAACCAUUGGAAAAUUGAUUAAUUCCAGUAGCGCGGAGCAAAGCCCAAUAUCAGAUUCAGAAAGCGUGAUGCCGUCCGGCAAGCCUUUGUCAAUGUUUGAAAUGAUGAACGCUAGCCAUAGCAGCCAUGACAAUAUCCAAAACGUUGACAUGUCUGCACAAUCGAAAGUUCUUGCUACUCGCAAGUCUGGUAAGAGUUCCCGCGCGCCUCGUAAUCAUACAUCAUGUUUGGAUAGUUCUCCAAGUGCAAGUGUUUUGAACGAAGGCACCGCAUGCAAUAUUAAGGUGGAACGUGGCACCGAGGAAACGUUCAAUUGUGUGAAAAAGCAGGAGGUACAAUACUUUGAUGACAGCGCGAGUGAUAAUUCUAUCGCCUCGUCGGGGAUUGAAAUGCAUAAUCGAUGUCCAUUGAAAAGGAUAUGUAGCGAUGAGGAUCUUCUGGUGAUGCAUAGCAAAAAGAGAUCUAACGAUGUGUACACAUCGACGAAUAUAAACAACGAACAACAGCACAUCUACUUGAAAUGCAGAUCUUUCGCAUCUGAGUAUCCGACAUUUUCAGAUGAAUUUAAUCAAUACAAUGAUGUCAAUUCGCAAUCACUGACAGUGGCGGAGUCGCCUAAUUCAAGUUUACAUGAAGUCGGAACUGAUUAUCAACAGUUGGUAGAUCCCGCCGUGCCGUUAGGCGUAACAAAUCACGACGAAGAACAGUUUGUUGAUUUGCAGGAUCUGAAAGAGGACACGUUGCUAAGUUCGGAACUUGACGCAAGUCCAGGUUGCACUUGUCUUUGCAUCGCGCCAGAAUUACUACAUCCCGGCUGAAUAUCCAACUCCUUUGCGGGAACGAACGGCAAUUCUCAACGCAGUAAAUUAAUAUACUAAAAACUUAUGAUGAAGAUAUUUGGCGGUCUACGUAAUGGAACUACAGGUUUCGAAG